CCAGAUGAUGACUGUCUGCGUGAACAACAGCAUUACAGGUGCUGCCUUUCAGCUUUGCCCAACUUGUCCGUUGAGAAAAGUGGGUGAUUUGGCUGACCUGAGGCUCUUUCAGUCUGAAUUAAGGAAUGCCCACCUCCUAAAAGAUAAAAUGCCAGGUGUGUGGGGGGGUGGGCAAUAGAUUUUGGUUCAAAAUGGGACUUAGCUUUUUAUUUCCCAUUACAGGACGAUCCUGUAGCAUAUGGAGCGUGUGUCAGGUCUCUUCAUCUUCUGUGACCUCGUCUGAUCUGCUGUGCCUCACCCAUGGCCAGUCCCACCCCCAAGCUUCUGGAUGCCGUUCCACCUGAAUAUGGGUCAGACCAGGACCCGAGAAAGAUAGAAGAUGCUUCUCACCAACAAGAUUUCCCUAUGCAGUUCCCAUACCUAUUAAAUUAAGCACAAUACUGUAAUAGUGUAUUAUAAUGAUAUUAUUACCUCACGCUAUUAUUAUGGUGGAUUUAGAGAAUGAUUGUGUAUCCUUCUUGCUUAACCACAUUGCCACAUUGUAUAUUACAUUGCUGAAAUAAUUAGCAGAUGGUUUUCCUUAAUGAGCAGGGGCAAUUCUGUGUUUUUAUACACCUUAAUAUUUCACCAAAGCAGCGCAGAAACGAGAAACAGAUGAAGGCCUUUAGGAAACAAUAGUGUCCCCCCCUCCCCCAGUCAGGUGUGCACUGGGGUGCAGGCAGAUUUUUUUGUCCACUAUUUCUUUCGCUAUCCUGGGUACGCAGAGUUAGAGGCCUGUAGUUGGACUCCGUUAUGUCUGCCAUCAGUCUUCCUGAAAGACACAUUUGAAUUGGUGUUUAAGUGCCUGUGUAUUUGAUUGUGUGCACUGUCAUCCUGUCCAUCCUGUCCCCGUGACUUGUGCUUUGGACUAUUCCAGUCUGUGGUUAAUUUGGAGACACAAAUUGGACACCAACUGCACCUCUUCGGACUAUCGGAGGGAACCGGAGAACUUGGAGGGAUCCCACAUUUCUCCAAAAACCUCAACCCUACUGGUGCAAAGCAGCACACCCAGCAUGUCACCCAACAAACAUUGGUGGUUGCUAAUCACUGAAAGGACAAAACACUGUACAGACGCUCCUAAUGUUAGUAAUUACCUGUUAACUGACCUCCCGGACUUGCGACCAGCUCUCGGACCAGUCGGCAUUGUACACUCUACAGACGCUCCUCCUCCUUUAUUUGGUGAAGGAAGGUUGUAUAUUGUUGGCAGUAAUUGACCUUUAUUUUGGUAUGCCAUAUCAGUUUCACUUUAGUUUGAUGCAUAUGCUUUAUAUCGAGGGGUUAGGGAAUCUCCAGUAGUGCGUAAAGCACGGAUGUGUGCCAGGUUAAAGUUCUGCUGUGUCUUAUACAGUACUUUUCAAAAGCAAUGGCUUGUUGUAACUUUGCUAUGCUGGACAUGAGAUCUCCAAAGUCUUUUCUGUGUUUGGUUUAUUACAGUUUCAGUCACAGAUUUUCACCUGUCACAUGCGGAGAAAACAUGUACCAGGAACAGUACACUGUUUAUUACAAUAUACAGUACACUACUGUAUAAACAUCUUUAAAUAUACUAGAAAUGCUAUAAAUGGUGCAAAUGAGACAAUAAAGAUCUAAAGAUGGUUGACACAAA